GGCCUUUUGAUAUUAAUUUAAGGUCUGGCCUGCCCACUGAUUUUUUGAAGGGCCGCGGUAUUUUGACCGUGCUAAGGUAGCAUAAUAAUUAGUUUUUUAAUUGAAAGCUUGUAUGAAUGGUCGGAUAAGAAAAAAGCUGUCUCUAGUUAAAUUUAAUUGAAUUUUAUUUUUAAGUAAAAAAGCUUAAAUAAAUUUAAAAGACGAGAAGACCCUAUAGAGUUUAAUAAAUUAAGUUUUUAAAUUUUUGGGAUUAUUAAUUUAAAUAUAGAAGUUUAUUUGAUUGGGGUGAUUGAAAAAUUUAAAAAACUUUUUUUUUAUUAAAUCAUAAAUUUAUGAAUAUUUGAUCCAUUAUUGAUGAUUAUAAGAUUAAAUUACCUUAGGGAUAACAGCGUAAUUUUUAUUGAGAGUUCUAAUCGAAAUAAAAGAUUGCGACCUCGAUGUUGGAUUAAAAUUAAUUUUUGGUGCAGAAGCUAAAAAUUUUAGGUCUGUUCGACCUUUAAAAUUUUACAUGA
rnacentral:rRNA from 1 species